GAUCCUGGCUCAGGAUGAACGCUAGCGGCAGGCUUAACACAUGCAAGUCGAGGGGCAGCGCGGGGUAGCAAUACUCUGGCGGCGACCGGCGGAAGGGUGCGUAACACGUGAGCGACUUGCCCGAUACAGGGAGAUAACCGGUGGAAACGCCGACUAAUAUCCCAUACGACAUGAGGCUGCAUGGCCUUGGGUUGAAAGGUUCGCCGGUAUCGGAUAGGCUCGCGGGACAUUAG
rnacentral:rRNA from 1 species